rnacentral:rRNA from 1 species
GUUGAACGCUGGCGGCAUGCUUUACACAUGCAAGUCGAACGGUAACAGGUUAAGCUGACGAGUGGCGAACGGGUGAGUAAUGCAUCGGAACGUGCCCGGUCGUGGGGGAUAACGCAGCGAAAGCUGCGCUAAUACCGCAUACGAUCUGAGGAUGGAAGCGGGGGACCGUAAGGCCUCGCGCGAUCGGAGCGGCCGAUGUCAGAUUAGGUAGUUGGAGGGGUAAAGGCUCACCAAGCCGACGAUCUGUAGCUGGUCUGAGAGGACGACCAGCCACACUGGGACUGAGACACGGCCCAGACUCCUACGGGAGGCAGCAGUGGGGAAUUUUGGACAAUGGGCGCAAGCCUGAUCCAGCAAUGCCGCGUGCAGGAAGAAGGCCUUCGGGUUGUAAACUGCUUUUGUACGGAGCGAAAAGGCUCUCUCUAAUACAGGGGGCUCAUGACGGUACCGUAAGAAUAAGCACCGGCUAAUUACGUGCCAGCAGCCGCGGUAA